rnacentral:rRNA from 1 species
UACGGGGGGAGCGAACGUUGUUCGGAAUCACUGGGCGUAAAGGGCGUGUAGGCGGCUGAAUAAGUGGGAUGUUAAAUCCCCCGGCUCAACCGGGGACCUGCAUCUCAUACUGUUCAGCUCGAGCACAUCAGAGGAGACUGGAAUUCCCGGUGUAGCGGUGAAAUGCGUAGAUAUCAGGAGGAAUACCGGUGGCGAAGGCGACAUCCUGGACCGGUAUUGACGCUGAGGCGCGAAAGCCAGGGGAGCAAACGGG